ensembl:piRNA 21ur-1619 ncRNA
UUUUCUCUCCUAUCGAGUGGU